GAUGAACGCUGGCGGCGUGCCUAAUACAUGCAAGUCGAGCGAACGGACGAGAAGCUUGCUUCUCUGAUGUUAGCGGCGGACGGGUGAGUAACACGUGGAUAACCUACCUAUAAGACUGGGAUAACUUCGGGAAACCGGAGCUAAUACCGGAUGAUAUUUUGAAUCGCAUGGUUCAAAAGUGAAAGACGGUCUUGCUGUCACUUAUAGAUGGAUCCGCGCUGCAUUAGCUAGUUGGUAAGGUAACGGCUUACCAAGGCAACGAUGCAUAGCCGACCUGAGAGGGUGAUCGGCCACACUGGAACUGAGACACGGUCCAGACUCCUACGGGAGGCAGCAGUAGGGAAUCUUCCGCAAUGGGCGAAAGCCUGACGGAGCAACGCCGCGUGAGUGAUGAAGGUCUUCGGAUCGUAAAACUCUGUUAUUAGGGAAGAACAUAUGUGUAAGUAACUGUGCACAUCUUGACGGUACCUAAUCAGAAAGCCACGGCUAACUACG
rnacentral:rRNA from 1 species